CCCUGCUCAAUGAGUGUUUUAAUAGCCGCAGUACCUUGACUGUGCAAAGGUAGCAUAAUCAUUUGUCUUCUAAUUGAAGUCUUGCAUGAAAGGGUUUAUGGGUAAAUACUGUCUAGGGACAGUCAUAGGAAAUUAAUUAAUAAGUGAAAAUGCUUAUAUGUAUACAAUAGACGAGAAGACCCUAGAAAUUUUUUAUAAUGGAUUUUUCACUAACUAUUUUGCUGGGGCGGCAGAGUAACAGAAAACUUACUUUAAGAACCUGAACUUCUUGGGAAAGAUUAAAUUACUCUAGGGAUAACAGCACAAUUAUCAAAUAGUUUGUGACCUCGAUGUUGGACUAAGGAACGCAAUGUUUAGAAGGUGUUGCGCUGGACUCUGUUCGAGUUUUCCUCCUUACGUGAUCUGAGUUCAGACCGGA
rnacentral:rRNA from 1 species